rnacentral:ncRNA from 1 species
UAUUCGGAGAGUUUGAUCCUGGCUCAGGAUGAACGCUGGCGGCGUGCCUAACACAUGCAAGUCGAGCGGAGCCGUGAGGGAGCUUGCUC